CGUAGGGGCUAGCGUUAUCCGGAUUUACUGGGCGUAAAGGGUGCGUAGGCGGUCUUUUAAGUCAGGAGUGAAAGGCUACGGCUCAACCGUAGUAAGCUCUUGAAACUGGAGGACUUGAGUGCAGGAGAGGAGAGUGGAAUUCCUAGUGUAGCGGUGAAAUGCGUAGAUAUUAGGAGGAACACCAGUAGCGAAGGCGGCUCUCUGGACUGUAACUGACGCUGAGGCACGAAAGCGUGGGGAGCAAACAGGAUU
rnacentral:rRNA from 1 species